rnacentral:rRNA from 1 species
AACGAACGCUGGCGGCAGGCUUAACACAUGCAAGUCGAGCGCCCCGCAAGGGGAGCGGCAGACGGGUGAGUAACGCGUGAGAACCUGCCUUUUAGACGGGGACAACAGUGGGAAACGACUGCUAAUACCCGAUGAGCCGAAAGGUAAAAGAUUAAUCGCUAAAAGAGGGGCUCGCGUCCGAUUAGCUAGUUGGUGGGGUAAAGGCUUACCAAGGCAGCGAUCGGUAGCUGGUCUGAGAGGACGAGCAGCCACACUGGGACUGAGACACGGCCCAGACCCCUACGGGAGGCAGCAGUGGGGAAUUUUCCGCAAUGGGCGAAAGCCUGACGGAGCAAUACCGCGUGAGGGAGGAAGGCUUUUGGGUCGUAAACCUCUUUUCUCAAGGAAGAACAAAAUGACGGUACUUGAGGAAUCAGCAUCGGCUAACUCCGUGCCAGCCGCCGCAGUAACAC